rnacentral:tRNA from 1 species
AUUUUAUUAGUAUAUAAGAGUACAUCUAAUUUCCAAUUAGAAAGAUUUCAAAAAAUAAAAUA